rnacentral:rRNA from 1 species
UACGGGGGGGGCAAGCGUUGUUCGGAAUUACUGGGCGUAAAGGGCGCGUAGGCGGCCUGCUAGGUCGGAUGUGAAAUCCCUCGGCUCAACCGAGGAACUGCAUCCGAUACUGGCGGGCUUGAAUCCGGGAGAGGGGUGUGGAAUUCCAGGUGUAGCGGUGAAAUGCGUAGAUAUCUGGAGGAACACCGGUGGCGAAGGCAGCUCGCUGGGACGGUACUGACGCUGAGGCGCGAAAGCGUGGGGAGCGAACAGG